UAGAAAUUCAGGUACGACGAGUGGUUGUUCAUCAUUUGUCUGUCAACACGUCAGACCUGUUGUGAGCUUCAAAAACUCCAUUUUCUCUUGCUCAGAUCAACAUACUUGCUUCAUCGAAGUUGUUCCUUAACUUGUGAACUACAAACAUAUCCAAAUUUGAGAUCCCUCGGAGCAGUAUAACUCCAGAAAUCCAGGUAUGAUGAAUGACUGGUUAUUAUUUUUUGUCAACC
rnacentral:lncRNA from 1 species